rnacentral:rRNA from 1 species
AUUGAACGCUGGCGGCAGGCUUAACACAUGCAAGUCGAGCGAGCGGCGGACGGGUGAGUAAUGUCUGGGAAACUGCCUGAUGGAGGGGGAUAACUACUGGAAACGGUAGCUAAUACCGCAUACCAUCAGAUGUGCCCAGAUGGGAUUAGCUAGUAGGUGGGGUAAUGGCUCCCCUGGGCGACGAUCCCUAGCUGGUCGGAGAGGAUGACCAGCCACCCUGGAAAUGGUACCCGGUCCAGACUCCUACGGUGGGCAGCAGUGGGGACUAUUGCACAAUGGGCGCAAGCCUGAUGCAGCCAUGCCGCGUGUGGGAAGAAGGCCUUCGGGUUGUAAAGCACUUUCAGCGAGGAUGCGUUACUCGCAGAAGAAGCACCGGCUAACUCCGGGCCAGCAGCCGCGGUAAUAC